rnacentral:tRNA from 1 species
GCUGGCUGGCCCGGGGGAGGGCGCGCCCAUCUCGCGCGUGGCCGACGCGGCCCGCGAGCGCAUCGGGCGUCGCAGCCGUCCGGCCGGCG